rnacentral:tRNA from 2 species
GCCUUGGUAGCUUAAUUAUUUAGAGCGUGGCGCUGAAGAUGCUAAGGAGGGAUGGAGUCCCCCAGGGCA